rnacentral:rRNA from 1 species
GGAUCUCUUGGCUCUCGCAUCGAUGAAGAACGCAGCGAAAUGCGAUAAGUAAUGUGAAUUGCAGAAUUCAGUGAAUCAUCGAAUCUUUGAACGCACAUAGCGCCCUUUGGUAUUCCUUAGGGCAUACCUGUUCGAGCGUCA